rnacentral:rRNA from 1 species
UACAGAGGGUGCGAGCGUUGUCCGGAAUCACUGGGCGUAAAGGGCGCGUAGGCGGCCGGGUAAGUAGGGGGUGAAAUCUCAUGGCUCAACUGUGAGGCUGCCUUCUAGACUGCCUGGCUCGAGCAUGGUAGAGGCUGGUGGAAUUCCCGGUGUAGCGGUGGAAUGCGUAGAGAUCGGGAAGAACAUCGGUGGCGAAGGCGGCCAGCUGGGCCAUUGCUGACGCUGAUGCGCGAAAGCGUGGGGAGCAAACAGG